rnacentral:lncRNA from 1 species
ACGCAGGCGUGCCUGCGCAGUGCGCGGAGGAGUGCUGUUCGUGUGUUCGAGUCCCUGGGUUGCUUCCUGGGGUCUGUGGUGCUGGGUGUGCUAUCUGCGUGUGAUUCUCUAGCGAGAGAUUGUGGGCGAGUGACCGAGUGGGCAAGGGGCCGUCACUGUGUGUGCGUGAUUUUGACAGUGUGUGGUGGUAGCUUCUGACUCCGCGUGGGUCGUUGAAUGUAUGACUGGGACCGUUUAGCGGUGGAUACACAACUGUGUGCGGCUGUGGAAGAUUGCCUCAUCCGUUACGUUCCCAUUUCCGUGGAACAACAGUUUUACCAGAAGGUUUCGAAGGAACCUUAAAGUUUGGAAGCGUAAGAGUUUAUCUGGCGGCUUUGGUGUCAUCAAAUGUGAGAAGCCCUGGACUUUACACAUCCCGAGCCAGUGUGAUCCAGUAUGAUUGGGAGUCCGAGUGCCAGAUGCCGGU